CAUUCCAUCUGAAACGCAUUUCUGACGUUCUUUUCCCGUUUCAUUUCAUCUUCUUUGAGCCGUUUCUUUUCAUCUGAAACGCAUUUCGGUUUCGAAAUUGAAAGCUAUAAAAAACCAUUGAAAGCCUUCCUCAAAGAAUUUCAUGUUCCCGACCAUCUCUGCUUCAGUCAAGGAUUCGCAUUAGGGCUUCCGCAAUCUCCAUGUCCGCUUGACAGUGAGGAUUCGCAGAAAGAAAUCAAGGCUUCCUCAGCGAUUAGGAUUCGCUCUGUGUCUGUAAUCCAGGCUUCUGUUUCCAUUCUACCAGUUCUUUGGAAGCCGCAUUACCUCUGUUCCAGUAAUCAGGGCUGCCAUGUUUUCAUUUUGAUGUUGUGCAUACCUGCCAAUGCCAUUCGUUUAUGCCCGCGAAAUCCCUUCUUUGAUAUGUCACAAGUUGGCUUAUAUUUUUCCAAAAGGGAACAAUCUAAGAGGUGAAAUUGGUCACUUAAUCAUAUGGAAAACUUCUUUGUGCUCCACUGGAGUGGGAAAGACAUUGGUGGCAAAAGCAGUGGCAAGGGAAACAGGAUCAACCAGAUAAAAGGAGUAGAGACAAGAUCUAUGCACAACAUGCAACUAACAGAAAACUGCAUUCCCAGAAAACUACAAGAGAUUGGCGCAGAUCCUUAAUCAUUUUUGUGCAUGGAUUCUAAAGUGACACCAUCUUUUGGAUCCUUAAUCAUUUUUGUGCAUGGAUUCUAAAGUGACACCAUCUUUUGGGUGGUAUGUAUGAGGCCAGGGGGUGGAAGAGUUGAUAAUAUGUGAAUUUUUUUUGUCAAUACUCAUAUGAAGGGCUACUCUUGAUUUAAAAGGGUUUUUCUUUAUCCGAUGCCUUUUUUCUUUCUUCAUGUUAGCAUCUUUGAAUCUUAUAGUAAAUGUUGUUGCAAAGAAAGUCUUCAAGUUUUCAGGUUUGAUUAUGAUUUUUCAUUGGUUGUUUAUGCAUUGUUGGUUGGGAUGUGGUUGGAACAUUUGGGGACAAUGAAUUAGAAGGAUUAAGAUAAUAUUGGUUCGUGAGUCUAAGAUAUAGUAACUAUAGAUGAUGAAGAAACAUUAAAAGUGAUUAAUUUGUAACGGGUGAGUGACAUUAAAAGCUAUUAAUUUUUAACGUGUGAAGAAACAUUAAAAUUUAAAAGUGAUUAAUUUGUAACAGAUGGGAGACAUUAAAAGUUAUUAAUUUAUAACAGGUGAGAGGUGGAUUUAGUUUUAUGCAACCAUUAGUUAAUUAGAAGAGCUGAAGAUGUAAAGCUAUGAACGAGUCUCAUUAAUAAUAUUUAGAUAAUAGAUAGAAGGUGAGUAAAAUGGAACUCUAAUGCUAACCUAACCUUCUUCAAUCUCAGGUUUUAGUUCCAGGUUUUUUUUUAUAUAAAAAUGCAUAAUUAUAACAAAAAUCACUUAAAAUUGAAAUGAUGUGGCUGUUUUAUCCAUUUGCUUUGGUUUUCCAUGUUAUUCAACACUGCAACUCCUCCAUCUAUUAAUUCUUUUAGGUUGUUUGCAGAUGACUUCCCUCUACUCUCAGACUUUUUGCUCAUUAAAACAGUUGCUAAACAUGCAUGCUUCCCAACAGCAACCUCAGGGUCAGAGCUCCCAAAAUAAUAAAAUUCACUACAAUGGUUUUGGAACUUUAAGAGCUUAAUGUGUCUUUCAUGAGUGUCUUUGCGUUCAGCAAUUGAGUUUGUGCCUGUCUUUUGUGCUGAAAUAUAUUUGCAAGAAAAGUCCAAUGAUUUCCUUUUUGGGACGCAUACUAAAGGAUUGGUAUAUAUGAUACUGGCCGAGACGAGACACAUACCGUAAUCUGAAGCUUGCCGAUUUUCAUUGGCACAAUCAUUUUUUAAUGAGUUCAAUGCAAACCUUAUAAAAUUGUGGAUUCUCUUUCUGAAUCUUAUGAAGGUUGGUGCUGCUAUGAUUUACAUAAGAGAGCCCUUUGAUUAAAUUACUAGCAUGUAGCUCUGCAGAGCGUCUCUGGCUGAAUCAAGUCUGGCCAUUUGAUAUUGUUAAAAAAAUUUAGUUCAUAUUCUAA